AGGACGCCGCCGAGGAGGCCCCGGCUGUGGGCGCGGACGCCGACACCAACGUCAGCGGGUCCUUCGUCCAGAUGCCCCAUAGACACGGGGUGUUCAUCAACCACGGGUAGACGCAGACGAAGAUGCGAGGGAGAAGACGCAAGCAGGUCAGGAAGACCACAUCCACGAUGCAGUGGGAAAUGUAGAAGCUUGGAAUUAGUAGCGUCUCAAAGAAAAAAGAAAGGAAAAAAAA